AAGGACAAAAUAUGAAACACCAAGAAAGAGAAGGAAAAAAAGAAGGAAACAGCCACAUAUGUCACCUUUCCGAGAGGGGCUGAAACCGGGCUGACCCUUUUGAUUUCCAAACUCAGCCUUUUGGUAUAAGGCGGCCAAAGAAGGAUGCAGAGCCCAGCACUGUGAAGCCUACAAAAACAUUGACACGCUGGCUUGGGGAUUUGAAUUUGAACGUCUUUCAUACCAAGUUCAGACUCAUGAAACCAAUCUUCAGAUGCUCUGUAAACCACAUAAUAAAGAGUUUGGAAAUUA